GCUGCCCUGUACGUCGGGGAGCAGCCAGUGCCCGGGGGCCCCCGGCCUUUGGCGAGUGCAGCAGCGGCCGCGGCCCCCUGUAAGCAGGGCGGGAGCCUGCGGGGCCGCUGCUCUCCAUGCCCAGCUCCAUUUGCCCAGCGUGCCUGCCUCGGACCCCGGCUGCAGCUUCAAGCAAGACGCCCGGAGACCGUGGAGUUGGCAGCGACUGCUGCAACUCCCAGAGAAGAGGACUCCUGAGGAACUGCGAGUCAAGAGGGCGCAGCGAGAGAGGAAGAGGAGGAAAGAGAAGGGCACUCUGGGCAAAGGAACCACCCUGCUAGCAGCAGGGCUGUGGUCACACAUGAGCACGGCUGGCCCUCGGUGGCCUUGCUGCCCUUGUGCUGGGCGACCUCCCUGUAAGCAGGGCUCGGGUCUUUGCUUUGCUAGUUUUGGCCUUUUGCCACGUUGCUCCUUGGCUGCCUGGAGAGAGGGGCGACCCUGUAAGGAGGGUGCGAGUCCCUCUCUCCGCACCUGAGGGCCACGGGGAGCUCCCUGGACCCCACGCCUGCCCUGUAAGCAGGGCAGGGCUCUUUGCCCCCGCCAAAAUAUAAUUAUUUUUCCCUGCUGGCAACCUGGCCAGCGUGACCCCCUGUCCUCGGGGUGUGUCACUACAGUAGCUUUCUGGGCUUCCUGUAAAGGAAUGAAGAGCCCUGGAGCAGAGGGGGACUCUUCUGUGACCCAGAUCCGAGGCGGGGAGUUCUGGUCUGCCCCUUCCGUCUCUGGGCAGAGCCAAGCCACUAGGUAACGUGUGGGCAAGCAGACC